CUCCUAAGGACGCGAUGAACGGCGCAUCGGUAUAUGUGGGCACCAUCAUUAUCCCCCAGGGACCUUGUUCCAGAUCCAGUGGACAUCAUGCCGACGGCAGCGACACUCUGGAUGAGAGGAAGAGGUUCUAAAUCAUGAAGUUUUUGGACUUCACGGAUAAGGAGGAAAUAAUGCGGGUGUUCCGGGCUCGCUCGGAGACGCUCACCUUUCAAGGCUCUACUGUUAUACUUUUUAACUACUACUCAGCUGCGGUCACAAAGAAAAGGAGAGCAGUCAGCGACAUCUGCACAUCUCUUUUCUGAUACAACUCGCUUCCAGCUGUUAUACCCCGCAAUACUCUGUACUAGAUGUGCGGAUGGGUCUUACAAGACUUUUAACUCAUCCAAGGAGGCUGUAGCAUUUUUUUGUUCAGAGUCCAUAUCUUCGCGGAAGGGAUGACGCGGAAUCUACCAAAAUUGGAGGAUCCAGACCUUUGCAGCGACUCCCGAAUGUUGCUACGUCAUCUCAAGGACAGCGUGACAAAGACAACGCCAAGAUGCCGGCAAAAGAACAGCGGAGACAUUGUUGCUGAGGACUCGCGCUCCGUUUCCCCUUGGAUUCUUUUUAAUGGGUAAAUUAGGAACAAUCUUUGCCCCAGGUAGUCUUAUCUCUUAUACUUAUUUUGGUUCAUAUAGGAGGUGAAGGAGGGACGCAAGGUACCAGAAGAAAUUGAAGUCCAUAAUAUAAAAAUUUUGGGGUUAUUAUAUAGUGGGAACAGUUCAUUUUACCGCUAUGUUUUGGUUUCUUAUAUGUGGUCAUCCAAACGAUGUUAUGUUAAUAUUAUGUUUCAUUACUGUCUUUGUGAGUGAUUCCGUCAAGGGCUCUUUAUGUGUAGUUAUCAUAACAUGCUUAACUUAGUUCCCUGCAGAAACACUUGAUGAUUUUACGUCAUCUUAAACACCUGGGUGCAGAUAUUGCGCUUCUGCAGGAAACUCAUCUUGAGGAUUCCAUAGAAUGGCGAAAUUAUGGGUUGGCGAGGUUUAUGGAUCCUCUGCAAUAAAGGGGAAGACCGGGGUACUUACUUUAAUACAUAAGAAUCUGUUGCAUAGGACACAGGCACAUUUCAGGGAUGAAGAGGGUAGAGUAUCUGCUUUCAAACUAUCUUGUUCAGCUGGGGACAUAUAUGCUCCUUAUGUAUCCCAGGGCCUCGUUUUUACAAAGCUGAGUGCUAUGGUGUUGCAGGACCCCAUAAGGGACAAACUUAUCGGAGGAGACUUCAAUGCUGUAGUCAGCAGGAUAGAAGACCUUCAACAGGCAAAUCGAUCAGGGCGGACCGCUCGACCUGAUGGGAAGAUUUUGACGCAUUUCCUUACAGACUUGGGCAUGCUAGAUUCCUGGAGGGUCUUACAUCCUGAUGAGAGGCAAUUUACUCAUUAUUCCCACGCACAUGACUCAUCGUCGCGGAUUGACUACUGGUUCUUGGGCUCCCAUCUGCUACAGCGGGUGCAAGAUGUAGUAAUAAGGGAAUUAGUGAUAUAGGACCAUUCCCCGAUUAUAAUGACGAUGGCUGACACGAUCCCGCACGGAAUUGAAUUUAUUUGGAAAUUCCCAUCUUUUAUGGCAAAAGAUGAAUCUUUUGCAGACCUCGUGAAGGGAUGGUGGUUGGAAUAUAGCACUUUGAAUCAGGAACAUGGCGCGGAUCCAAUGCUUUUUUGGGAGGCGGGUAAAGCGGUCCUGAGGGGUUGGCUGAUAGCUUACAUGUCCAAGCUUAAAAAAGCCACCAAGGAAAAAUACCUGGAGACCAACAAUAGGGUUUAGAAGGCUUACGGGGAAUUUAUACAAUCCCGCUCCCCUCAACAUAAACACAACUGGAUGGAGGCACGUAGGGACUUUGACCUCUGGGCCGACAGACGGGAAAGCUUUUACAAAUCUCAAUGGGAGCUUGAACUCUAUAAAUGUGGAAAUAAGGCAGGCAGAUUAUUGGCUAACCUAGCGAAGGGGCAGCGUCCGAUAUACCCUCUGCACUGCAUACGAGACCCUGAAGGGAGGGUCAGGUCUAACCCUGUAGAGGUACUACAAGUGUUUAGGGAGUAUUAUUCUGGACUUUAUAGCGCACCUAGUAGUGAAGGAAGGGCAACGUUGGAAUUUCUUGGAGGUGUGAAUCUGCCGACCCUUUUCCCCGAGCAACUAGAGAGUUUAAAUAAACCCAUCACGAAGGAGGAGAUACAGGCUAUACUUUUUUGGUAGGACUAGAAGCUCUAGUGCGUUUAUCUUAAUACACAGGGGAAAUUCACUGGCAUUAAAGUAGGAAAUAAGACGAUGCAGGCAGUUUUUUUGGCGCACGACAUUCUCUUAUUUGUGGAAAAACCCCAAGAGGAAUUCCAAAUGAUAUUAGACAAGAUUGGGAAUUUUGGCGCAUUCUCGGGUUUUAAAAUAAAUGUGGCAAAGUGCACUCUCCUGAGCAGAGGGAGAAAUCUGGCUAGCCAAGAGUCAAAAAUUUGUGGAAUACCUAUAGCGAGUAAUACUAUUAAAUAUCUAGGAAUUAAGCUAGGUCAUACUGCAGACUCGUUAUACAGGCUUAAUUAUACUCCUUUAUUUCAUAAUAUUGCCCAGGAACUAAGGAAAUGGCAGAGUCUUCCUUUGUCUCUCUUGGGGCAUUUGGUUAAAAGGAUUAACUUUUGAUUAAGCAUAUGGAUAUUACUAUGGUCCACAGUGACCUUGUUACCCGAAUAGGUAUAAAAAAACUUAAAUGGCACUUAAAAUUAAAGGUGGCGUGAAUUUGCCAGACGUGCGACUGUACAACUUGUCAUGUCUUUUUAGGCACAUCAUAGAUUGGGUAAGGGAAACAAGCCACUACUGAGAUUUUGCUUUAGAGAAGGCCCUUCUUUCACCAUAUGCUCUCUGUACUUUACUCCAUACGAGUCUGCAAGGCUUACCUAUGCAUCUGAGAAACUCAAUUAUUUUUAGACAUACCUGGGCUGCCUGGAAGGCCCUCAGGAAACAAUUUCGCCUUAGCCAAAAAAUAUCUAAAUAUUUGCCCUUGUGGGAUCACCCUGAAUUUACACACGGGAGAUGUAAUAGACUAUUUAAAGAGUGGAUAGAAAAAGGUAUCUUAACAGUGGUGCAAAUGAUUCACCGGACAGAAAUCAGAUAGUUAAUGCAGCGAGAGACCAUAGAUAAAUAUCAGUUGAGACCCUUUUGCACAGGUAAAACAUUUCCAUACUGAAAGUUUAUUGGAUCCUUCUAGGGAAACUUCUCAAACCAGUUUCAAUAAAAUCAUACAGAGAGGGACAGGCCCACAGUCCAUUUCUUGUUUGUACACACAAAUCAGGGAAGUAUUGGGAGAUGGGUUACCUCACCAGGCUUUCAGGCCUUGGGCACUAGCAUUAGAAGAUCAGAAGGCAGGAAACAAAAUCUUGAAAAGGUGGUAGGCAGUGAGAAAUAACAUCAUAAACGAAACUUGGAAUUUCAGGAUCAUGCAUAAUGCCAUAUAUGCAUUUAAUCUCCCUCCAACACCGAACAAACCAGACAGGCUGACAUACUGUCCGAAAUGCCAUACACAAAAAACAGACUUGUUUCACGGGUUGUGGUCCUACCCAAAAUCUGGGGAAGUAUGGAGUCAAAUGGCAAGCCUCAUAAAGGAUAUCUGGGCACUUGAUAUACCACUUGACCCUAUGAUCUAUCUUUUCCAUUAUUGGGAGAAGGAAGGGGAGGAAGGCCUGGUAGAACAGAAGCUGCCAGUUCUAUUUCAUGCUAUCUGUCUGGUCACAAAGAGGAGCCUGUUGCAGAACUGGCUACAUACAACCUGCCUACCCCACAAAGGGACAUAUACUACAGAACUUAAAAAACUUACUGACAUUGGAAAGAAGGGAAGUAGAGAGAAACAAAGAAAAGAAAAUAGGUAAGUUUAUCAGAAAAUGGCUAGGUUUCUUGACACGCAACCUCUCAUAUUUAGAGAUAGAUAACAUAAUGAGGCCUUUUACUUUAACAAAAUGGUAUCUGACUUAACAAUUGAAAGGUUCUUUAGGUAGAUUACAACAGAGAUCUUAAGUCUUUUAUAGGGAUACAUUCCCUACCUAGGAAACAUCCUUAAUGUUGGUGUAUUCCAUUAUGUGAAAUCUUACUGACAGAAAGAGUCCAGACACAUUAUAGUGUAAUACAAUAUAACUCACGUAGACAGUUGUUUUUAUUUUGUUUCUGAUAUGUUUUGUUCUUAUUAUAAUGUAAAUUCUUACCAUGUGACACAUAAUUCUGUUGUCCGCUCUACCUGAGCAUAUGUAUUUUUUGUGAACAAAUUAAAUUGUUAGAAAAAAAAAAAGCUUAGCGGUGAACUAGCAAAACCAUUAACAGAUUUAUUUAACUAAUCACUGGUAAC